rnacentral:RNase_P_RNA from 1 species
GGAGCAGGUUGGGCGGUCGCUUCUUUUGAAGAAGAGGAAAGUCCGAACACCGUAGGGCAGCGAGCCGGAUAACAUCCGGGCACCCGGCGACGGGUGACGACAAGUGCAACAGAGAGCAGACCUGCCUCAGAAGAGGUAAAGGGUGAAAGGGUGGGGUAAGAGCCCACCGGCAUGUGUGGCAACACGCGUGGCCAGGUAAACUCCUCGUGGUGCAAGAUCAAAUAGGGAAAUGUGAUAUGGAUGGCCCGUCCAAAGUUGGCAUUGCCGACAGCAUUUCGGGUAGAUCGCUGGAGUCGGUCGGUAACGUCCGGCCUAGAUGAAUGAUCGCCGACAGCGAAAGCUGUAACAAAAUUCGGCUUAUAGACUUGCUCCGCAG